GAUGAACGCUGGCGGCGUGCUUAACACAUGCAAGUCGAACGAUGAAAGCGGGAGCUUGCUCCUGCUGGAUUAGUGGCGAACGGGUGAGUAACACGUGAGUAACCUGCCCUUGACUCUGGGAUAAGCGUUGGAAACGACGUCUAAUACCGGAUACGACCUUCGGAGGCAUCUCCUGGGGGUGGAAAGAAUUUCGGUCAAGGAUGGACUCGCGGCCUGUCAGCUAGUUGGUGAGGUAAUGGCUCACCAAGGCGACGACGGGUAGCCGGCCUGGGAGGGUGACCGGCCACACUGGGACUGAGACACGGCCCAGACUCCUACGGGAGGCAGCAGUGGGGAAUAUUGCACAAUGGGCGCAAGCCUGAUGCAGCAACGCCGCGUGAGGGACGACGGCCUUCGGGUUGUAAACCUCUUUUAGUAGGGAAGAAGCGAAAGUGACGGUACCUGCAGAAAAAGCACCGGCUAACUACGUGCCAGCCGCCGCGGUAAUAC
rnacentral:rRNA from 1 species